GAUGGUUCAUGGGUCACACACCCCAAAGUCGGGCUUGUUCCUCUCUGGUUCUGGGUGCGUGACCCAAGAACUGCA
rfam:Myotis davidii contig33344, whole genome shotgun sequence.